GUUUUUCUUUCUUCGAUGGUGAAAAUUACAUUUUUUAUCUAAAGAAUGUUGGGAGAAAUCUUCAUAUUGAAACGAGAUAUUGUGUAAAGAGGUUUUCAAAGAAGUCAUUUUAAUAACAAUGGAAGAGCCUUCGAUUCCCGAGAUAACCGUGAAAGCAUUCGAUACAUGAUUAAAAUCGUUCAAAAGUUUGCUUAAUUUCGAUAGUGUAAUUUUAAUUACUAUUUUUUUGAAAUAAACCAAUCAAGUUAUAUA